GAUGAACGCUGGCGGCGUGCCUAAUACAUGCAAGUCGAGCGAACGGACGAGAAGCUUGCUUCUCUGAUGUUAGCGGCGGACGGGUGAGUAACACGUGGAUAACCUACCUAUAAGACUGGGAUAACUUCGGGAAACCGGAGCUAAUACCGGAUGAUAUUUUGAACCGCAUGGUUCAAAAGUGAAAGACGGUCUUGCUGUCACUUAUAGAUGGAUCCGCGCUGCAUUAGCUAGUUGGUAAGGUAACGGCUUACCAAGGCAACGAUGCAUAGCCGACCUGAGAGGGUGAUCGGCCACACUGGAACUGAGACACGGUCCAGACUCCUACGGGAGGCAGCAGUAGGGAAUCUUCCGCAAUGGGCGAAAGCCUGACGGAGCAACGCCGCGUGAGUGAUGAAGGUCUUCGGAUCGUAAAACUCUGUUAUUAGGGAAGAACAUAUGUGUAAGUAACUGUGCACAUCUUGACGGUACCUAAUCAGAAAGCCACGGCUAACUACGUGCCAGCAGCCGCGGUAAUACGUAGGUGGCAAGCGUUAUCCGGAAUUAUUGGGCGUAAAGCGCGCGUAGGCGGUUUUUUAAGUCUGAUGUGAAAGCCCACGGCUCAACCGUGGAGGGUCAUUGGAAACUGGAAAACUUGAGUGCAGAAGAGGAAAGUGGAAUUCCAUGUGUAGCGGUGAAAUGCGCAGAGAUAUGGAGGAACACCAGUGGCGAAGGCGACUUUCUGGUCUGUAACUGACGCUGAUGUGCGAAAGCGUGGGGAUCAAACAGGAUUAGAUACCCUGGUAGUCCACGCCGUAAACGAUGAGUGCUAAGUGUUAGGGGGUUUCCGCCCCUUAGUGCUGCAGCUAACGCAUUAAGCACUCCGCCUGGGGAGUACGACCGCAAGGUUGAAACUCAAAGGAAUUGACGGGGACCCGCACAAGCGGUGGAGCAUGUGGUUUAAUUCGAAGCAACGCGAAGAACCUUACCAAAUCUUGACAUCCUUUGACAACUCUAGAGAUAGAGCCUUCCCCUUCGGGGGACAAAGUGACAGGUGGUGCAUGGUUGUCGUCAGCUCGUGUCGUGAGAUGUUGGGUUAAGUCCCGCAACGAGCGCAACCCUUAAGCUUAGUUGCCAUCAUUAAGUUGGGCACUCUAAGUUGACUGCCGGUGACAAACCGGAGGAAGGUGGGGAUGACGUCAAAUCAUCAUGCCCCUUAUGAUUUGGGCUACACACGUGCUACAAUGGACAAUACAAAGGGCAGCGAAACCGCGAGGUCAAGCAAAUCCCAUAAAGUUGUUCUCAGUUCGGAUUGUAGUCUGCAACUCGACUACAUGAAGCUGGAAUCGCUAGUAAUCGUAGAUCAGCAUGCUACGGUGAAUACGUUCCCGGGUCU
rnacentral:rRNA from 1 species